UUAUUGAGUGUACUAUAACAUAUCACAAGUCCAAAAUUUUUAGAGCACUCUAACAAAUCCGAAAUUUUCUGUUUAGAGCAGCAGUUCACUAAUUCAUUUAAAACAAAAAAACUGUUUUGGUUCAUCUUCUUUGUUCAAGCUUAUCAACCCUAAAAAUGGCAAGAUCGAACCAUAAAAUAGCAUAUAUCAUGUAGAUCUUCCCUCAUAUGGAUC
rnacentral:lncRNA from 1 species